rnacentral:lncRNA from 1 species
ACCAAAGUAUAAAAUUAAAUUUGCAGUGACACGUGAGCCCACGAACGACUAAAAGUGUCAAAAGAAUUGAACCUACAUAUUUUGAGGAUGCCAAUCCAAUUGUAGUCCUCGAUGAAAUGAGCUAUUUACCGACUACCUUGAUGCUUGAAAUGGGUGGAAAGGAGGGUGGUGAGAUUAUAAAAUCUCAGUGAGUAAACAAAUAUCAUUUAAAAUAUCUAAAAGCGAGUAAAAUGAGACUAUUAAAAUAUUUCAUCAAACUGUAAUUUAUCAUUUUUCAACUUAUUUCAACAAAAUGAAAUCAAUUUAUUUAAAUCAAGUAAUCAAUAUGGCUUAUGAAUUUAUUAAAAAGCUUGGCUCAUGGCAAAAAUUAUUAUCAUACUCAGUUAUCUGAGAUACCUUAGCCGAGGGCUAUCCCAACUGAGUCCGCGAAGGCUAUUAGAAAGUCAUGUACGUAUAAGACAUGUUUUUAUUUUGAAAAUAUAGUCGUUCCUUGGGGAUGGCCUAGCUCACCUUCACGUGGUGGUUUGGCGUGAAGUGAACUCUAAAAUCAUACAUCGGGAGUUACCCUACUCACCUCUCCAACCGAGGUAAAAUAUAACGGGUUUACCGUGCCCCUCUAAUAGGCUAGUCCACGGAAACCCGCCUACUGUAGUAAGCUAAACCCACCAUAUAAUAAAAUCUUGACAGCAUGACAGGGCUAAUAUAUUACUACCCAGCCUGCAAGGGUAAAAUAAAAUAAUUCAUAUAAUUCAUAAAAUACAAUCCAACCAGUCAUGCCAACACAAUAACAUAAGCCAUCAAUUCAAUCUUAAAUUUACAACAUAUCAAUGGUCUCCAAUUACUUUAUUUUCAAAAUCAUCAUUCAGUUUCCAAAACAAUUUAUAAAAUCUUUUUAUUUAAACUCAUUUUUGUUUAUAAAACCUAAAAUUUGCCAUUUAACUCAUUUUCAUAAAAUUUCACUAAAACCGAAUUAAAACAUACUUUAGAUAAUUAAAAUGAUAAUAAGGUUACUCACUAUUUUGUGAGUCGAAUUUCUAAAGUACUCCGAUUAUCGAUCCUCGGGUACAAUUUUCUUGCCUUUGUCAGAGGACUCACCACCUUGACAUAGUACAAAAUCGAGAAACUUAUUACAUUGGUACUAAAUCAAAAUUAAACUAAUUUAGAGUAUUAAUGCAUGAUAUGGAAUGCAAAAUCUCCGAUUAAUCGCUUAAAUGUGAUAUUCAACCUAAGUCACACUAUACUCGAUCUAAUCGGCUAAAAUCUUCAAUUUAACUCCAAAUCAAUUCUUCUCACUUUCUACACUCCAAUUAUACCUAAAUUACCUCAGUGACUGUGAAUGAGAUUCAAUUUAUCAGUCUCGAGUCAAUAAUCACACAUGUCUAUACGUUGAGCAAAAAUUCAUAUUUUCACACCAAAAUUUUCCAUUUAAUUCUAGCCUCACCAAACAUCAAAUAUCACCAAAAUAUUAUGAAAUAUCAUCAAUUUCAGCCACAAUAUCCUCCCUAUAAAAUUUGGCCAUUGAUGGGUGAUGGGGAAAAUGAAUUCUUUUCUUG